CAUGUAGAAUGGCCAUUUCUCCAUCUACUUCCGUCUUUUUUUUCUGGCUUCCAAAACAUUAAGUGUUUAAGUUUUAUCUCUACUUUUAUUGUUUUCUCCAAAAUUUAAAUACAUUUUUGAAAUAUUGAACACAAUUGGGGAUUCCCUGAUAGACAAGGGAUUUUGAUAUAUGGUGGCACUAAGGAGUAUCUGAGUGCUUAUGAAAGUCGAUAUGACAAGGCGUGUUAUUGGCACCAAUAGCCGCCGCGUUCCCGUGAUACCGAGCGCGAAGAAUUACAGGAAACUAUCAUGUGAUUAUACUACUAUCAAUGUGACAGAGCGAAGAAACAGGAAAAUGUAGCACUAACAGGAACUGUUGGCAAAUUGAAUCAUCCACUUUGUUCUUCAAUGGAAAGUUCGUAGGAAAUCGCAACUAGAGGGGAACAAUCAUUUUACAUUCUGCUGGCCAUUUGUGACGAUAUUCAGUGGAAAUAAUGAUCGUACUAUGAGAAAAUUCAACACGAAUAUAAUAAUGAAAACAGUUGCCUUAUUGCUUGGAGAUUAACUAUGUUGUUGUUGCAGCCACAUUUGCUUGUGGAGGUGACGAUCCUCGUCAAGCUCUUAUAGGCAAGCAAGCUCGUUUCGGUCUAUACGACCUAUCGACGCGGGAACAUGAUGUCCAUUGGUUAUUUAAAGGAGCCAAUAACACACCUUUUGGUAUCGAACACCAUAGGACUCAGACGGACUAAUUGUCCGCAACUGCCGUUGCAGCUACUGCAUAUGGAGCAUUCGACUAUCCGCAACCUGUGGAGGGGCCCGGUAGCUCACAGCUAAGCUUCUCGUGAUAGCGAUGAACAUCGCACAGAUCGGAUCUCAAAGUUCCAGCUUGUGUCACAGCUCACAGGUAUCCCGUGCAUCUGAGUUGAAUACCUUAGGGAAUAUUUUGUUUAUUGGAAUGAGGGAAGUGACUAUGCAGAAUUACUUCCAAAAUAAGGUGGAUUAUAUGAUUCAUUACAAAUAUAACAGCUCGAAACGUUUAAGGAGGAAUAAUUAACAUUAGAUCAGACAUACAUGGAAGCAAUUUUUCUAAAUGAAUGAUGGAAGUGACUAUGCAGAAUUACUUCCAAAAUAAGGUGGAUUAUAUGACUCAUUAAAAAUAUAACAGCUCGAAACGUUUAAGGAGGAAGGACUGAGCCUGAUUAUAUACAAUUGGAAGUAAUUUUUCUAAAUGGAAAAUGUAAAGCAAAAUUUGGCUUUUGACCAUUCAGCGAGAAAGAAAAUGUCAAUGAAUGAGGGCAUGCUGAACUAGAAAUGAUCCAGAUAUAAUAGAUAAUCAUAUAUUUAUUAUAUUAACCAAAUGCAUUCUUUUAAAUAAAUCAACCCAAGGCAUACGCCUUGAAUCUACCAAUAAAUAAUAAAUGUACAAAUUGAA